AGGACGAACGCUGGCGGCGUGCUUAACACAUGCAAGUCAAGGGGGCCCAGCAAUGGGCAACCGGCGAACGGGUGCGUAACACGUGAGCAACCUACCGAAAUGUGGGGGAUAGCCGGCCUAACGGCCGAGUAAUACCGCAUACGCUCUCGAUGAGGCAUUUCAUUGAGAGGAAACCUACGGGACAUUUCGAGGGGCUCGCGGCCUAUCAGCUAGUUGGCGAGGUAACGGCUCACCAAGGCAACGACGGU
rnacentral:rRNA from 1 species